GCCCUGCCUGAUCCUCGGGCUCUUGGAAUUCCGGCAGAGAAGAGCAGGGUGGCCAGUGGAUAGUGAGCAGCUCCCAGAGACGGGGUUUCACCAUGUUCGUCAGGCUGGUCUCGAACUUCCAACCUUGUGAUCCUCCUGCCUCGGCCUCCCAAAGUGCUGGAAUUACAGGCAUGAGCCACCAUGCCUGGCCACCCCCCCUUUUUAUUUUUUAAAUAGAAAUCUAAUUCUUGAGGCACAGCUCAAGCUUCUCCUUUUGGGAAAACAAUUAAGUCAUUUGUUUUUACUUAUUAUGUUUCUUUUUUUCAAAUAUUUUGUGUGUGUAUAUAUAUUUUAUUAUACUUUAAGCUCUGAGAUACAUGUGCAGAACGUGUGGGUUUGUUACAUAGGUAUACAAGUGCCAUGGUGGUUUGCUGCACCUGUCAACCUGUCAUCUACAUUAGAUAUUUCUCGUAAUGCUAUCCCUCCUUUAGCUCCACUCCUCUCAGGUCACCCUUUACUGCUUGAAUGGGGCUUCUGCAACCAACUCUCUUGCCACCCAGAAAUUUCAAAAGAAUUUUACCCAGCAGGGAGGCCCAGAAACUUUACAAUUUGGCCUCUUAAAUUUCAUCAGCCUGCAAUGAUGAAAUUCUUACCCAUACAAGGCCAGUGCCACGGCUGUGAUAAUGAGGAUUGCAUUAAAAUUACUCUUUUCUUUGACCCUGAAAUCAUCAGAUUCUGCUGAUCUGCUUGUUUGCAUUAAAGAUACUGGUUACUUCAUUCCAUAUUGGGGUCUUGCUCACAUGGCAUGCAGUAUUGUGUAGUGGAGAUAAAAAAACAAAACCAAAAGCUUCAGAGUCCAACAGCCCUGAGUUGAAAUCCCAGACAUACCCUGGACUGGCUGUGUGACUCUGGGAGCUAGCGACACUUGGCGAUUUGGCUGUGUAUGUCUCCUGGGAGGCACGGAGGGAGCCAGAUCCCGGACAGAAGAACCACCUAGAAAUAACUUGGCAGAAUUCUGAAAAUGAGGUCAUGCUGGAUAGGGUUUCGCCAUGUCGCUCAGGCUGGUCUCAAACUCCUGGACUCAAGUCAUCCACCCGUCUUGGCUGCCUACAUCACUGGGAUUACAGCUAAGAAAACUGAGGCUAAGCGAUGCUGGUUGACUUGCCCAAGGCCACACAGCUGGUAACAGGGACUGGCGGUCACUUGAGUCCUCCAUCAGUACUGGUGCUACUACAGCAGCUCCUCCCCUUUCUAGAGGCCUGGAUGGAAAGAUGCUGGUGUCAGCAAGAGGCACGAAGGUCCACCCAGUCCCAGACAUGCAGAGAAGCAUCAUUUGUUGCUGAUAACAAAGUCCUUGGUCUGCACGGGUGCCAGGUGUGAGUGGUGACUAGAGCAGCAGGGUCCAUCCUGCUUCUAUCUAGGAAGAUGUGACCUCUGUGAGUGAAGAGAGGUUCUACUUGGCUCUUUGUUCCAUCCCAAGAUGUGGUGUCAUAGACCUGGACUGUGCCAUCAAAACCUGAGAAUACAGAAAAGAGAGGUUUGACAAUGAAUCCCUAAAAUACUUUUAUUUUAAAAUAUUUUUUUCUUUCUCUUUUUUUUUUUUUUUGAGACGGAGUUUCGCUCAUUACCCAGGCUGGAGUGCAAUAAAUAGUGCGAUCUCGGCUCACCGCAACCUCCACCUCCUGGGUUCAGGCAAUUCUCCUGCCUCAGCCUCCUGAGUAGCUGGGAUUACAGGCACGCGCCACCAUGCCCAGCUAAUUUUUGUAUUUUUAGUAGAGACGGGCUUUCACCAUGUUGACCAGGAUGGUCUCGAUCUCUUGACCUUGUGAUCCACCCGCCUUGGCCUCCCAAAGUGCUGGGAUUACAGGCGUGAGCCACCACGCCCGGCCUUUCUUUCUUUCUUAAUACAGAUGGGGUUUUGCUAUGUUGACCAGGCUGGGCUCAAUUCCUGGCCUCAAGUGAUCCUCCCAUCUCAGCCUCCCAAAGUGCUGGGAUUACAGGUGUCAGCCACUGCACCCAGCCCCUAAAAGACUUAUAAUUUAUUUGGUGGUACCAAACAGGCUAUUGGAUGAGGAAUCAAGGCACUUAAAGGCUAACCAUGGUAACAGAAGCCUUUGGAGAGGAAUAGUCUCAUGUCCCUGCAUGAUCUAGCUGCACACACACUCAUCCCAUCCUGCCAUCUUCCUGUUACUGAAGAGCCCACUCCUCUACCUGAGCUUGGCUCUUCUGUUCUUUCUGGAUCCUGGCAUUUCCAAUCAUCCUUUCUUAGUCUCUUGGUUUUUUUAACCCCCACCCGCCACGACAGAUCCUUCCUGUUGGCUUUUAGAUACCCACAUUAAAUACCCCCAAGCAACUCGAUGCCAUCAGACUAGACUCAGGAGCCUGCUGACCUAGCUGGCUUGCUACCUUUCAAAAGGCAGAUGGGCUGAGAAGUAUCCUUGAGGUCCUGUCCCCUCUUCUGACAUAGCCCAUGGCUGUCCCAGUGUCUUAUCUGCAGGCCCCUCCUGAGACCUGAAUUCCUGCUAGGCUAGGAAAGGCCUGCUGCCAGUGUGUGGAAGUUAGUAGGCAGAGUGGAGAAAGGCCUGCCACUGAAGAACCUGGAGAGUUAAUUUACAGUUUCUCUGUGAGCAACUUUGACUUCUGGAGCCAGGUUUAUCACGGUGCUACAGGCUCCUUCCUGAGCACCUUACGGUUCCCUGAAAGAAAGAGAUCAGGUAACAGACACGAAAUCCUGUUCAGCAGUACCUGAGAUGGCCAAGCAGUUCUUAAGGCCUGGGGCCCAAGUCACUCGCAGCAGCUCUGGGUCAGGACUGAGUAUGGAUACUGGGCACUGCACUGAGCUCACAGGAUGGCAGAGAUCCCGGGGGUCAAGGAGACAGAGCCGCCCAUCUGAGCCAAGGCUGGCAAUGCUGGGCCCAGGGCCCUGGCCCUUGUUCCCAACUUCAGCACACCAUCUCUCUCCAGAACCAGGCCCGGGGCUGCGAUUCUCCAACGGUGCCCACUUCUGGCGGGUAUCAACAAGCCCCAGCCGGCCGGAAGCACAGCAGAAGGCAAAGGUGUCUGCAUCUAGGACCUGCAGGCUACUCAGCUCCUCACUGUCACUGACAUCUAGAAGACCAAAAGCAAAGGAGGCAGAUGGGUCUGGUGAUUUGGCAGGGCUGGCUGGUCACAAGUCCCUUCCCACCAGUCCCAGGCAAAAUAAAUCACAUCUCCCUUCCCACUCAUCUCACUAUUUUCUGCUCAGCUGUUUGGGUGCUGAUACCUGGGACUGCCUAAUCCUGCCCCAGCAUGGGAGCCCUUUGAGGCCAGGGCUCAUCUCUUAUUCACUGUGCUUCCCCAACACCUGGCACAGAGGGUUGAACUCAGUUUCCACAGUGGCUGAGUUGGGCUGAGAGGCGAUGCCGGCUGCAGCAGCCAGCAAGGGACAAAAUACUGUAGUACCUGUGGUGUACGUGGUUUUCGCGGACUCCAGAUCUGUGACCUGCAGACUGCGGAGCCUUGCCCCGUGGAGGACUCCAGGUGCCAUCGAGGAGAAGACAGCCACCCUAGGCCAGAGACUCUCCUCUUUAUCAUGCACAGCAAUGGUGCAGACAGCUUUAAUGACAUCUGGGAGAAAAGGAAAAGAGGCCAAAAUCUAGAACUUUAAUAAAGGUUUGAAACAUGACAGGCCAGCCAGCUGUCGUCCGCUAUACCUUUAGAAGGUCAAGGAAGAAAAGGAGUGGCCAGUUGGCAAAAGGUGAUGUUGAGACAUAACCACUCUGGCUUAUGUUUACAUUUCAAUUUCUUUAUUAUUUGUCUUAAACUUUUUUGCAAAUGGAAACUAAUACCAUCUCAAAACCCAAAAAACAGUUCUGGCUUUUAAUAGUUGUGAACAGGUAGAAGCAAAGAAAAGGAAAGAACAUGCUGAUGUCAUUUACACCUUCAGUGACAAGUAACAGGUACAGAAUUCAUGAACUGGUAUUACUUCUUCAAAAACGUGUUCCAUGACCUCAUGGGACUUGCUAAAGCCUAGCAAGUACAGGUUACAUCACAGAUGCCACUGUCUUCAAAUGUAAGUUGGACAAGAGGGUCCACAUCUUUUUGACACUGAAUGGAACAACAUCCUUGGCUUUGAGUAAAGUUUUAGUUCUUUGUUUGUUUGAGACAGAGUCUUGCUCUGUCGCCCAGGCUGGAGUGCAGUGGCACAAUCUUAGCUCACUGUAGCCUCUGCCUCUCAGGUUCAAACACUUCUCCUGCCUCAGCCUCCCAAGUAGCUGGGACUACAGGCGUGCACCACCAUGCCCAGCUAAUUUUUUUUGUAUUUUUUUAGUAGAGACGGGGUUUCACCUUGUUGCCCAGGAUGGUCUCGAUCUCUUGACCUUGUGAUCCACCUGUCUCGGCCUCCCAAAGUGCUGGGAUUAUAGGCGUGAGCCAACACGCCCGGCCCAGAUUGGGCUUAAACUCCUGACUUCAGACGGCCCACCUGCCUCAGUCUCCCAAAGUGUUGGGAUUACAGGUGUGAGCCACUUUACAUGGCCUUUUUUUUUUCUUUUUGAGAUGGAGUCUCACUGUUGCCAGGCUCUCACUGUUGCCAGGAUGGAGUGCAGUGGCGUGAUCUUGGCUCACUACAACCUCUGCCUCCCAGGUUCAAGCGAUUCCCCUGCCUCAGCCUCCUGAGUAGCUGAGACUACAGGUGUGUACCACCAUGCCCAGCUAAUUUUUGUAUUUUUAGUAGAGACAUGGUUUCACCAUAUUGGCCAGGAUGGUCUCAAACUUCUGACCUCAGGUGAUCUGCCCACUUCAGCCUCCCAAAGCGCUGGGAUUACAGGUGUGUGCCACGGUGCUGGCCUCAACAUUCUUAAUCAUUAGGGUUAAUGCAAAUGAAUGCCUCAAUAAUAUAUAAUUACACAUCUAUUAAAUAUAUAAUUACACAUCUAUUAAAAUGGCUUUAUUUCAAAAAGACAGAUAAUAACAAAUGUUGGUGAGGACAUGGAAAAAUGGGAACCCUUAUAUACAUUGCUGGUGGGAACAUAAACAAUUCUUUGCUGAGCACAGUGGCUCUGCCUGAAAUCCCAACACUUUCAGAGGCUGAGGCAGGCAGAUCACAAGGUCAGGAGAUCAAGACCAUCCUGGCCAAGAAGGUGGAACCCUGUCGCUACUAAAAAUACAAAAAUUAGCUGGGUGUGGUGGUGUAUGCCUGCUAAUCCCAGCUACUUGGGAGGCUAAGGCAGGAGAAUCACUUGAAGCUGGGAGGCAGAGAUUGCAGUGAGCCAAGAUUUAGCCACUGUACUGAGUAAGACUCCAUCAUAAAGUAAAAUAAAUAAAAUUAAGUUUAAGAAAAUAAAAUAAACCCAUUUUGGAAAAGUGUAAAAGUGUCCCUAAAAAUUAAAACAUAAAUUUACCUUAAGACCCAGCAAUGCUGGGUGCAGUGACUCAAGCCUGUAAUCCCAGCAUAUUGGGAGGCUGAGGCAGGCGUAUCACCUGAGGUCAGGAGUUCAAGACCAGCCUGGCCAACAUGGUAAAACCCUGUCUUUACAAAAAUACAAAAAAAAACCUAGGCAGGCAUGAAGGUGGGUAACCCCAGCUACUUGGGAGGCUGAGGUGGGAGAAUCGCCUGAACUUGGGAAUGGAGGUUGCAGUGAGCUGAGAUUAUGCCACUGCACUCCACCCUGGGCAACAAGAGUGAAACUCCAUCUCUAAAUAAAUAAAUAAAUAAAUACACCCAGCAAUUCCAUUUCUGGUUGUCUCUCCAAAAUAAAUGAAAUCAUUUGUCCACACAAAGCCUUGUGCAUUAAUGUUCUUAGCAGGAUUAUUCAUAAUAGCCAAAAACUGGAUCCACCAACUAGUGAAUGGAUGGACAAAAUGUGGUGCAUUCACACACACAAUGGAAUACUACUAUCCAGUCAAAAACAGGAACAAACUGCCGGCUCACGCUAUGACAUGAACAGACUACAGAAGUGCGAUGCUAAGUUCAGAGAGCCAGACACAGAGACAUGUUGUAUGUAUAAUGCCAGUGAUACAUGUCCGGAGAAGGCAAAUCUAUUCCAGAGACAGAAGUAGAUUAGUGGUGGCCUGGGGCAGGGUGUUGGAAUGGGAUGAACAGUAAAUGGCACAAUGGAUCUCACUGGGGUAAGGAAAAGGUUGGAAAGCUGAUCUACAGUGAUGCCUGCACAACUUGUUAAAUUUACUAAAAAGGUCACUGAAUUGUACGUUUUUUUUUUAAUGGGUGAAUUAUGUGAUAUGUCAAAACAUAACAAAAUUAUGGAAAAAAACCCCAACAACUAUAAGUAAGUAAAACAAAUGAUCAGAAGUGACAGCACAGGACAAGUGACAACUAGGAAAGCCCACGGUGACCACAGAGAACAAAUGAGCACAAGAACUGCCCCUCUGUGGCAGUGAAGCCUGAGGGGAAGCCAACAGCUGCUGGGCAAUUUCUGGGAAGCUUCCAAGUGAGGCAGCAUGGGGACUGGGCCUGUGCCUCUGAGACUCACUUCUAUGCUGGCCAAGGAAGCCCUAACUGAAGGAGGGACAGAAGGGGCUGGAUUAAGCUAGAGGGCUGCAUGCUCUGGUAUCUGCCUGACAGGGGACCCACAGACCCACAGCUGGAGGGAACACUAUUCCCCACGGGGGAACUUCCCUCCACUCCCAGAAGGGACAGGAUGAACACUGCUAUUCUCUCCUCUCCCACUGGAAGCAGAGUAAGUCUGAGUGGGGGACUUGCCAGCCCAGCCUCUUGCUCACUCACUGUUUUCCUUCCUGGGGACUGGCAUGCCUGCAAAGAGGUGACCAAGGAGGUGAGCUCACCUGAGUGGCCUUAGCUCUGCCCUUGCCCCUGCCCCUGCGUAGGGGGAAUGGUUCUGUGGGUGAACUCAAUUCCAGGAGCAGGAUACAGGAAGCUCCAUUUGGGGCUUGGAUACCAUGCUGUGGUUGCUAAUUCACCUUGUCUGCAUUAAAGUAGAUACUGCAUUUUAA